UACGGAGGGUGCGAGCGUUGUCCGGAAUCAUUGGGCGUAAAGGGCGCGUAGGUGGCCCGGUCAGUUCGUGGUGAAAGCGCGGGGCUCAACCUGCGUCGGCCAUGAAUACUGCCGCGGCUGGAGCACUGUAGAGGCAGGCGGAAUUCCGGGUGUAGCGGUGGAAUGCGUAGAGAUCCGGAAGAACACCGGUGGCGAAGGCGGCCUGCUGGGCAGUGCUGACACUGAGGCGCGACAGCGUGGGGAGCAACAGG
rnacentral:rRNA from 1 species